AUUUGCUGGAGGUCCACUGAAGACGCUGUUUGCCUGGAUAUCACCAGCAGAGGGUGCAGAACAGUAAAGAUUGCUGCCUGUUCUUUCCUCUGGAAGCUUCGUCCCAGAGGGCACCCGCCAGAUGCCAGCUGGAGCUCUCAUGUCUUCUAACACAGAGCUUCCUACCCACUGUGCUGGAGAAAUUGAUCCCCUCAGCCCUCAGAUUGGCAAGGUGUGUCCAUGGGCUGAGUGCCUGGGCAGCAAUCUGGGACCUAGAGCAGCAUUUCGGACAGGAUGCUCUAUAUCAUCCCCUUUUGGCGGCAGCGUGAUGUAUUGACUUUUGUGGCCUCUAAACUCAACUUUGGCAAUGUGUACCUGCUGCUGAAGUUAAUGACUUGUGUAAGCAUCCCAUGUCUCAGAAGACUUUCUGAGUGCUACCAGUCACUUGAGGGACAUUGAAUCUUGGAGGAAUACUGAACAUCUAAGUCCCGGAUGAUACUAAUAAACUAAUAAUUGCAGAGGUUUUUUUUAAAACAAAAAACCAAACAAGAGUCACCUUUGCUCCAGUUCCCAGCAAGUUCCUCCUCUCCAUCUGAGACCAUCUCAGCCUGGACUUUAUUGUUCAUAUCACUAUCAGCAUUUUUGUCAAAGCCAUUCAACAAGUCUCUAGGAAGUUCCAAAGUUUCCUACAUUUUCCUUUCUUCUUCUGAGCCCUCCAAACUGUUCUAACCUCUGACGUUUCCACAGUUCCAAAGUCACUUCUACAUUUUUUGAUAUCUUUUCACCAGCUCCCCACUCUACUGGUACCAAUUUACUGUAUUGAUUUUCAUGCUGCUGAUAAAGACAUACCAGAGACCUGGCAAUUUACAAAGGAAAGAGGUUUAAUGGAGAACUCACAGUUCCUUGUGGCUGGGGAAGCCUCACAAUCAUGGUGGAAGAUAAAGAAGAGCAAAUCACAUCUUACGUGCAUGGCAGCAAGCAGAGAGAGAGCUUGUGCAGGGAAGCUCCGCCUUAUAAAACCAUCAGAUCUCAUGAGACUUAUUCACUAUCAGGAGAACAGCAUGGGAAAGACCUGCCCCCAUGGUUCAAUUACCUCCCACUGAGUCCCUCCCACAACAUGUGGAAAUUCAAGAUGAGAUUUGGAUGGCGACACAGCCAAACCAUAUCAGAGGACUUUUAAGGUCGUGAAUGUGAAUGCAAAUUUUAUUUUCCACUUGUUUUGGUCAAUGUCUCCAUUUGUGUUGUUUUCUGUGUAUAAUUCUCUGUGAAUUCCUCAUCAUCCUUACCUCUGACAGGGGAGGGAGAAAGGAGAAGGGAAACAUAGAUUUUCAUAUGUUUCUUGGAGAGGAAACAGAGAAAAAAAGGAAAAAAAAAGGACAAAAAGGAUAUAUUAUUCAUUUGUCCCUGUCCUACUACCUUCCUCCUGUCUCCAGCCUCUGAAAUGGGAGAGGAAGGGGGCAUUGUAGAAUAACAAUAUUCAAAGAUUUUUCUAUUCUCAAGAAUAUCUAGAAAAGAUUUCUUUCACAUAGCAAGGUUCUCUUGUGUAUGGGCCACUGCACGUGUCCAUUCCUAUAAAAGAAUAGUCAAGAAGAGAGUGGGAGCUGGGAGCAGUGGCUCAUGCCUGUAAUCCCAGCACUUUGGGAGGCCAAGGCAGGAGGAUUGCUUGAGCCCAGGUGUUUGAGACUGCAUGGCCAACAUGGUGAGACCCCAUCGCUAAAAAAUAUAAAAAGCUAGCUGGGUGUGGUGGUGUGCACCUGUGUUCCCAGCUACUUGGGAGGCUGAGGUGGGAGAAUCACCUGAGCUUAGGAAGUCCAGGCUGCAGUGAGCCAUGAUCAUGCCACUGCACUCCAGCCUGGGCAACAAAGUGAGACCCUGUCUCAAAAACAAACAAACAGACAAAAAACCAAACAGGAGACUGGGGAAGGGGGUUGGUGGUUCUCAGUGUCCAUGUGGGCAGGCAUUUGGCCCAAGCUGAAAAUGUGGCUUGAUAUUUUUUAGGUUCCCUAAGAUACUUGGAUAUAAGUAUUGCAAACUAAAAUUUUAUACUUGUGAAUCUUUACACAAAGUAUCCUCCCCCACCUCCAGAUUUACUUGAAGUGGGGAGUGAGUAUAGGGAGAAAAUAAAUACAGCCAGGUGUCAUUAAUAUUGCCAGUUUAGUAUCUCAUCUACAGAGCCCAGGGCUAGGCUGGAGAGAUAAGAGAAAAUAGGUAGGAAAUACUUUCUGACUACUAACUGAUGUUUUGUGUCUUACCUUGAAUUGAAUGUGUUUCAGAAGGUCAAAGUGGUUUGCAUACAUUUUGAGAUAUUCCAGGAAUUGAGAAUUUGGCACAUAGUUUGGAUAAUCUUCUGGGAAUGGAAAGUCUGAGUAACAAGACAUCUCCUUGCAGCUGUUGGAAACCACAGACUUGUAGAGACUGGCUCUGCCUUCUUCAACAUGUUCCUGUACAAACAGUGCACACACAUGAACAUUCAUUGCAUGCUCAUAAAUAAGCCUGGGAAGAACUCACCGGUCCAGAUGCACACAGUAUCAUUGCCAAGCACAGGAGAAUAUAGAAAUACAUGAGAAUCAGGAAGUAGUAUUUAUUUGAAUGAUGGACAAUUGCUAGGUAAUUUGGUUUUAUGGGGUAUUCUGGAAAUGAUUAUGGAGAAGAUGGUUCAGAGUAUGAAGGAUCUUGUAUCCAAAGUUAAGGAAUUUGGAUUUUACAGGAAGGUUAUGCCAAUCUACUGAACGUUCUAAAUAUAGAAGUGAUUCAUAUCACUUCUAAAUUUUGGAAAGAUAACUCUCGUUCUACAAAAGGUGAAUUAGAGGGAGCUGGGAAGGAAGGAAGGGGGCGCUAGCCAGGAGCCUAAUACACAAAUCCACUUGAUUGCUAAUGAGGGCAUGAGCAGAGGCAAUGAUAGCUGGAACCCAGAAGGGUGAGAUUUGUGAGAUGGCGGUAAGGUAGAACACAUAGGAUUGCAAAACCAAUUAGAUUUAGGGGUUGAGAGAGGAAGCAGUCAAAGGUUUCCAGAUUGGACAACUGUGUGUGGCAAAGCACUAACAAAUUUCCCACCCUCAGUUUUUACUCAAAUAACUAGCAAAUACCAAUAUCUCAUAAGACUACUGCAAAGUUGAAUGAUAAACAGUUUUAGUAAUGUCUUUAAUAUACAUUGCCUCUGUCUUUUGGGGAGUAGUAUGGAGGAUUAUUCUAAUUUCAGUGGCAAGGUUCUUGUAUUUUAACAUUAUUUACCAUCUUGCAUAUGUAUAGUUCAUUUUUCCUGUGAAAUAAAAAUUAUUUAAUUUAUGUGAACAAGUAGAAACAUGAACAUAAAUCUCACAUAUGGAGAGGGCUUUCUCUGUUUCUGCAAAGGAUGUGAAUUGAUAUCAUAUAUAGAUUCCUGUAUCUGUCUGAAAUACACAGCAAUCACAGAUAACAAAAUUAUAAACAUAUCUCUGUGGUUUAAAUUAAUGUUAUUUAUCUCAUUGACUGAUAAGAGUUGAUUACAACCUGCUUGUCUGUGGCCCACCUGUCACACAGACUCAGCUAAAAUGCUUGCGAAAGAUGACUAUUUAAAUCUUGAUAUUUUAUUCAGCUGGAAUAUCUAAUGCAGUGUUAUUCAAACAUAGUCUGCAGAGCAAUACUGAUAUGAAUGGUUUGUUACUAGUCUGUUACAGGAUAAAUACAGAAAUCAAGAGUAAGCAUUUAGAAACUUUUAUAGCAAUAAUUUGACAUUGCUCAAUAUGUAAGCAUGUGGACACCAUUUUGUUGAACAGGAUAUAAAUCAGUCUUGUUUUUGUCUAACUUGUGUGAUGAGUUUGAGUUGUGUACUAGUCAUAUGCCAUAGGACUGUAUUAUCAUGUGCGAUGUUUUAAGGUUAUUUUGAAAACUGUUAUCCAAAAGUGCAUAAAAUCUGGAAUCAUUUUCUUUCAUUGAAAGAUUAUUUAUAUUUAAUCUUACAGUAUAAGUUAUUUGAACUGGCUACGGAUAAAAGACUGAAGAUACAUUAAAAAAAUGUAGCACUAUCAGCUUCAUUUUGGAUAGCAGUUAAAAAAUAUACACUGAACUUGCUGAGACUGGUUUAAAAAUCUCUUCCUCAUUUCAAUCAACAUACCUCUGUGAGCCUCCUUUCUCUACUUUGACUGCUGUUAAGCAAUGUUUAGAAAUAGUUUAGAUACACAUUAUCCCCUGCAAAGAGCAUUGCCAUCCAUUCAAACCAGAUUAGGUAAAUUGACAACCAGGAAGCAAGAUUAAUUGUCAUAUUAAAAACCUUAAAUAGUAAUAUAAAAAAAUGUGUAUUUAAAAUGUGUCUACGAGUGUUUAACAUGGAGAACUGCAAUUUCAUACAAAAUAUUUGUGUGGCAAAAAGUUACAAAGGUAAUGAUGACUCUCUGUGUCAAUUGCCUAUGUACCCACUUUCAAAG
rnacentral:tRNA from 10 species